rnacentral:siRNA from 1 species
GGUACGGUUCAACUGCGGUAUGUG